rnacentral:rRNA from 1 species
UACGGAGGGGCAAGCGUUGUUCGGAAUUACUGGGCGUAAAGGGCGCGCAGGCGGCUGCUCAAGUCAGGCGUGAAAGGCCUGGGCUCAACCCGGGAAUUGCGCUUGAGACUGGGCUGGCUUGAGUGCGGGAGAGGAUGGUGGAAUUCCCAGUGUAGAGGUGAAAUUCGUAGAUAUUGGGAAGAACACCGGUGGCGAAGGCGGCCAAGUC